rnacentral:rRNA from 1 species
AACGAACGCUGGCGGCGUGCCUAACACAUGCAAGUCGUGCGAGAAAGUUCCUUCGGGAGCGAGUAAAGCGGCGCACGGGUGAGUAACACGUAGGUAACCUGCCCCCCAGUCUGGAACAACUAGAGGAAACUCUAGCUAAUGCCGGAUGAGACCACGAUCCCUUCGGGGGUUGCGGCCAAAGAUGGCCUCUACUUGUAAGCUAUCGCUGAGGGAUGGGCCUGCGGCCAUUAGCUUGUUGGUGAGGUAACGGCUCACCAAGGCUGUGAUGGCUAGCUGGUCUGAGAGGAUGACCAGCCACACUGGGACUGAGACACGGCCCAGGCUCCUACGGAGGCAGCAGUGGGGAAUAUUGCGCAAUGGGCGAAAGCCUGACGCAGCGACGCCGCGUGGGUGAUGAAGGCC